CAGGUCCUACGGGAGGCAGCAGUGGGGAAUAUUGCACAAUGGGGGGAACCCUGAUGCAGCAAUGCCGCGUGAAGGAUGAAGGUUUUCGGAUUGUAAACUUCUUUUGUACGGGACGAAGAAAGUGACGGUACCGUAAGAAUAAGCCACGGCUAACUACGUGCCAGCAGCCGCGGUAAUACGGAGGAUGCGAGCGUUAUCCGGAUUUAUUGGGUUUAAAGGGUGCGCAGGCGGAAUGUCAAGUCAGCGGUAAAAUUUCGGGGCUCAACCACGUCGUGCCGUUGAAACUGGCGUUCUUGAGUGAGCGA
rnacentral:rRNA from 1 species